rnacentral:RNase_P_RNA from 1 species
GGAGUAAAUUGGCUUAUCGCUCCGGAACGGUUUAACGAACCGGGGAGGAAAGUCCGGACAGCAUAGAGUACCAUACUUCCUAACGGGAAGGCAGGUGAUGGGCAACGCCCGGCGUUGCGGAUCAGUUGACAGAAAGUGCCACAGAAAAUAUACCGCCGUAGCUGGGUUUUGAUUCAAAAUUCACUGCGGUAAGGGUGAAAAGGUGGGGUAAGAGCCUACCGCCCGGCUGGCGACAGACGGGGCACGGAAAACCUUAUGGGCUGAAAGAUCAAAUAAGCACCGGAAUAGGGGCGACUCGUUCCUGUAAUUUCGAAGCAAUUCGGAAUGAUGCCGAUGCGGGUAGAUCGAUAGAGUUCCGGAGUGAUUCGGAAUCGAGAUAAAUGAUAAGAACCCGGAAAAGUUGUUUCGGCAAUUUGACGGGAAACAGAAUCCGGCUUAUAGAUUUACUUCGCGG